GAUGAGUAAGAUACUAGUUUGUCAUCAUUCUAGAUUUGGAUCCGAUAAAAGGAACCAGAGAUUUUGUGUGCAUUCUAGUUUUUAGAUGAAUUCAGAAAGUUUAAUUUUGAUUGUAUGUCAUCGGACUAGCAUGUAUGUUUUUUUUGUCAUUUCCUUCUUUGCUUCUCUCCUUUCACUUGUAGCAAUAUUGUUCACCGAAGCGGUACGCUGGCACGCAAAAUCUCAUAGCAACCUCUGUGUUUCCAUUGCAAGAAAAUAUUAACUAUUUUUUGUUUGUUGGCUGUAAUGUCUUUGGUCUGAUCAAAUUGGUUGAAGAAUUUGUAUUGUUUUGUAACUCCAAUGUAUUUAUGGUUUUCUUUGUUUUUCCCAUUUAAUUAUGUAUGUGAUAUUCUUCUUUGUUAAAAAAAUUGUGUGCGAAAUGCAGUGGCGUCAAAAGCCUUACGGGGUGUGCUCUUUUUUCUUACGAUGUUUGUUUUCUUUCAUUUUUCGGUUGAUACCG
rnacentral:lncRNA from 1 species